GUGGUUGUAGUUCAGUUGGUUAGAACGCCUGGUUGUGGUCCAGGAGGUCGCCGGUUCGAAUCCGGUCUUCCACCCA
rnacentral:tRNA from 1 species